rnacentral:rRNA from 1 species
UACGUAGGGUCCGAGCGUUGUCCGGAAUUAUUGGGCGUAAAGAGCUCGUAGGCGGUUUGUCGCGUCUGUUGUGAAAUCCCGAGGCUCAACCUCGGGUCUGCAGUGGGUACGGGCAGACUGGAGUGCGGUAGGGGAGAAUGGAAUUCCUGGUGUAGCGGUGGAAUGCGCAGAUAUCAGGAGGAACACCCGUGGCGAAGGCGGUUCUCUGGAACGCAACUGACGCUGAGACGCGAAAGCGUGGGGAGCAAACAGG